ensembl:lncRNA
UUUUUUUUUUUUUUUUUAGUAUGUUUUAAAUUAUAUCAUAGCAAAACAUCUAUAACACAAGAUUUAACAUUUUAACCAGUUCAUGGUAUUAAGUAUAUUCACAUUGCUGUGUAACCACCACCACCAGCCAGCCACAGAACUCUUUUCAUCUUACAAAACUGAAACUCUGUACCCAUUAAACAAUAACUGCCCCCUGCCCACUCCUCCCAGCCUCUGGGGACCACAGUUCUAUCUUCUGUCUGAGUCUGACUUACUCUAGACAUUCAUAGAAAGUGGAAUCAGGCAAUAUUUGUCCGUUUGAUUGGUUUAUUUCACUCAGCAUUAGGUCUUUGAGUUUCACCCAUGGUGUAGCCUAUGCUAUGAUGUCUUUCCUUUUUUAAGGGUGAAUAAUUUUCCAUUGUUUGUACUAUGACAUUUGAUCUAUUCAUAUUGAUGGACAGUUGGGUUGCUUCCACCUUGUGGCUAGUGUGCAUAAUGUGGCUAUAAACACGGCUGUGCAAAUAUCUCUCUGUGCCCUUGCUUUCAGUUUUGGGGGGUAUGUAUCCAGAAAUGGAAUUGCUGGGGAUAUGGUAAAUUCUCUGUUUCAUGUUUUGAGGAAGCUCCAUCCUGGUUUCCAAAGUGGAUGCAGCAUUUUACAUCCCAACCAGCAGCGCACAACAGUGCCAGUUUUUCCACAUCCUCACUAACAUUUCCUCCUUGGUUUUUAAGUUAUUUACGUAUUUAUGCAUUCAGUAAAUACUUGCACAACUCCUGCCACACACCAGAUGCUGGGAAUACAAUGAGAAAUAAGACAGAUUCUGCCUGCCCCCCGAGAAGCCUGCAAUCUGACAUGGCAGAAGGAUGCUGAACACACAUCGGGUGGGAUAAACAUUUCUAAAAUAAGGGGAGUGAGCUGUCAGUCAGAGCCAUGAAGGGCUUUAUCCCAGAGGCUUUCUGGCUCUAGGUGCUAUGAGCACAGGAAAUUCACUUUCCUGAAGGUGCCUGAGUAAGUCAGGCAGCCACUGAAUAGAUUCUAAUGUGGCAUAGAGUCCAUACGCUUAAAAAUAUGUUCAAAGACAUGUGCAUUUGUGAAAACCAAAUCCUUUAUUAUCCUUAGCCAAACUAACUAACACUGCAUGUCAGAUGAGCCAGAGAACCUGAUUUAGAAUAUGAAAUGCUGGGAAUAGAGGCCACAAACUGGCAAACCUGAGAGCCAGACCCCAUGAUGUUUUAAAAGUUUGGAAUUAAAAAUGAGGAGGUUUCCCACGGGACUCUGAAUUUCUGGCUUCCCUGGGGGAAAACAAAAAACAAAAAACAAAAAAAAAGCAGAACACCUGACAGCACUAGGGUUACCGCAGGAUCAGGCUGGGCUGAGAGCAGCUCCGCCCAUUCUAGAAAAAACACAGCUGGCCUCAGGCCCCAUUGGGCCUCUUUCUCCAUUUUUCUUACAUUUUCGCUCCUAUAAGCCUCUGGUCUAGAGCUGUGCUGCUGUCCAGUACGGCAGCCACUAAUCGCGUGUAGCUACCAGACAGGAGAUGAAAGGUAUCUGAAUUUGAGGUGUGCUGCGAGCAUAAGAUACACACCAGGUGUCAAAAGACAAGAGGAAAAAAAUGGAACUUAUCCCAUGAAUUCUUUUAUAUUGACUACAUGUUGAAACGAUAAUUUUUUUUUACUUGUUUUAAUGGGUCCACUGGAGAUUUAAAAUGACACACGUGGCUCACUUUACAACAUGCCUUUCCCAGUAGAAAAAAAUGUCUAUAACUUUUCUCCCCAUAGGGAACUGCCAUGUGAAUUAUGCCACAUUAACUCUUUUUAAAGCGUAACCGGGUAUGCCCCGAACUGAGCAAGAAGCCAACCCCAAGGUGGAAGUAAUUGCUUGUUUACAUAAAUCACAGCGCACAUAAAAAAUCUGACGUUAUGGCUCUUCUAGCGCCUUAAAACACACGUAUCCCUCUCCAUACCAAACCACUGCUCUGAGACUUGAUUAGCAGUCCAACAGUGGACUCCUAUUUGCCUUGACCUAAGGUACUUCUGGUAACUCACCAGGUAAAUUGCUCAUAUUUGCUUCCGUCACUUAAUGCACUUUAAAAUUAAACCUAAUCCAUCCAUGCAAACCCUUCUCACAAUUCUUUUUGCAAAAGGCUUAAAGACUGUUGGCAUACUUAGCAUUUCAUAAAGGCCAUUAGUUUAUGAUUUUAUUGGAUAAACAGCUUUUUAAAGUCUUUUAACUUAAUUAAAUAAGCGACUGUUAAAAUUAAUUCCCAGCAGGCAUGGGACAAAAUGACUCUAAGCCAAGGCCAGGGGAAUCCUCCUAACUGACUUCUCUUUUUUUGGGCAAAGAUACCACCCACAUUCCUACUCUUUUCUCAUCAAGUAAGAUGCAUUAAAAUUAAGUGAUUCUGACUUUAGAUGCAGAGAAUACAUAGACAUGUAAGGAGAAACUCGGGCUUCCAGAUGUCACUCAACACACCAAGGAAAGUGAACAGUGAGGAAAUUAUGGGUCAAUGAGGGGACAACUGAAUGCGGAAAACACAAUUCGGAAGCAAAACUACACUCUGGAUGGCACCUUGCAGUGUGCACAUGCGCACUGACGCACUUGAGCUGGUAACCCCGCAAUCUCCCAUCCUUUUCCCCAGUGUAAGGACUACAGAAUUCCCUCGAGUGGUAGCCAACUUCAAUACUUCAAUAGAAGUUUAGCCUUUUUUGUCUUCCUUUUUUUUUUUUUUUUCCCCUGCUCUCCCUCCUUCUUCUCCAUGAAUUAUUUCUAUGGAAGGAUCACCCUACACAGGUCUGAUCUCGGGGAAGUCGAUGAUGAAAUGACAAUUCCCAGUGUGUGCACCAACGCCUCGUUUCCAGCACGUGUGAAGCAACCGCUUGCAGUUGUUUCCAUGUGGGUCAGAGGACAGGACAGGACAUGCUGUAUAAAAUGGGGAAGAGGACAGAUGACAUCCUGGCACAGAGCUGGUGAGGCCUGGCUGUUAGCAGAAAGUCUCAGCCAAUCAUGAGCGAGAAAACACAACCCACUAGUUUAUCACAAGCUGGAGGGGAAACUCUGUUAUCGUUUAAAAACUCUACCACUCUUCCAGAAUAAAAGUGUGGAAUAAACACGGUGUGUCAGGGCAUCCAUUGCUUACGAGUGGCUUGACAUCUUCAAAAAUACCUCAACUUUCCCAUCGCUUGAAUUUGGUUUUCUAAAAUCUAUAGGCUAAAGCAUAGUUACACCAAUGCAGCUUCUGUCUCUGCUGAAGCACUUGCCUAACUCCAGUUACCGACACUGAGCACUUAGAAUUCAGGGCAUCUUGCAGAUUAAAGGAAGCUUUAUAGAAAUCACAUUUAAUAUUAGUAGUGAUGCAGUUAGCAAGAUGAGUGCCUUGCACAUGGCAGGAACUCUGUUCAGUCUUCCCAUGCAUUUCAAUAAGAAUAAUGUUUAUGUCUCCCUAGGCAGGAGAGAGAAAUAUCGUCUGCACCUCUAAGCACCUACAAGCUCACUGAACGCGAAGCUAAGGAAGCACCCCAUUUCGUUCUGAGCUCAGCCAUCAGAAGAGCUGACUGUUUUCUGAAACACGAAGCUGGCAGGAACACAAGAACACCUUUGCGCUUCGUUUUAAAAAGAAGGCGUAUUCCCAGCUGCCUCCUCCCACCGGACACUCGGAAUAGAUUCUAAAGUUUGCUACCUUAAGGUUCCAACUGGCUCUCAUCCGUGCCCUCACCAGCUCGACAUCUGAGCCUUUGCCCACAACUCUAUCAGCAGUGCCACUACUGAGCGAGGCUGGAGGGGACUCCUGACUUUGAGUAGUAAGAGGUCCCAUGAACACACAGAAUUACCUGCAGCAAAACAGUACUCACUGGACCGGCUGGCGAUAGGCUUAACGUCCCCAAGAAUAUAAGUUACUCAGAUAUGAGUGUUUCAGAUGUAUGCAAUCAUGUUUUAAGGCAAUAUUCAGAAAUACCUUACUUCAUCAACCUAUCACACUAUAGUUACAUUGUAUGGAUAUGACAUGAUAUCCAUCUUUAAUUUGGAGGCAAGUCUCUAGACUCCCCAGACAAACAGGUACAGACUCAGAAAGAGCCAUCAUGCCAUCAAGGGUAAGCGCUGAUGUGCAUGAAUAUCGGCUUCUCAGAGCGCAUAGUCCCACCAGGCACAGGGGGCUUUCUCAUCAAAUGAAUUCAAUUCCAUGGUGAUCUGAACAGUCCAGAUUCAGUUUAAAACGCCUCACAUUUGAACCAUGGGCUCCCAUGGAAAUUACAUUUGAAAGUUAAACCUAACCUCAGGAUAGCAGCUUGCUCCUAGGGUUCUAAGGCAAUGUCUAUACUCUAAGGCUCCUGUGCCUGAGGCCAAGAAUUAAUUUCACACACAUGCAAAAAAAAAAAAAAAAUCACUUGAAAAGCUUCCCAAUGCCUUCAUUUUUUAAAAAAGAAAAACUAGUAAAGAAAAAGCAAAUAUAUAUACAUAUAUGUAUAUAUAUUUUUACAGUUCCCAGGCUAGGGGUCGAUUUGAAACCACAGCUGCAGACCUACACCACUGCCACAGCAACACCGGAUCUGAGCUACAUCUGUGACCUAUCCCACAUCUUGAGGCAAUGUCAGAUCCUUAACCAACUGAGCAAGGCCAGGGAUGAAACCCGCAUCCUCAUGGAGACCAAGUUGGGUCCUUAACCUGCUGAGCCACAAUGGGAACUCCCAAAAAUAUAUUUUAAUCAAUAAGCUCAGGCUCUGUCUUCUCAGAAACGGUAGAUAAUGCUUUAUGAGCCUAGGGGCAUUUACAACUAUUUACAACUUCUCUUGUUGUUCAGGAAAGUACUUGAAAAGCAGGGAUACAAUCUGAGAAAGAUUUCCUGCCAUCUGGGACCUAUCUUUAAAUUUAAGUGUACAUACAUACACGUGCAUGUAUGUAUCCAUCCCCAGUAUACACACACACACACACACACACACACACUCAUGCACACACCUGGUUGCACACUCUGCCUGUCUCUCUGUGUGUCUCUGUCUCUCUUCUCUAUGUAGAUAUAUUCUAUACAUACAGAAUUCUAUAUAUGUUAGAUAAUGUAUAUAUGUAUUAUCUUUGAUACAUGUGUAUAUAUGUAUAUUUACAUGUGUGUGUGUGUGUGUGUGUGUGUGUGUGUAAUCACAGAGUCCUUUCUAAAUAGACAUACACUGAAGUACUGUAUACACGGGGCCAGGUCUCUGCAUAGGCUGAGAGCAUCGUAUUUCGGGUGUAGCUCUCAUGACACCAGGAUCCCAGAUUCCUCUUGCACUCUGAUCCACAUCCAAGCGUAAUGCUAGUGCUCUUUAUCUAACGUAGCUUCACAUUUCCGUUGCAUCUCAAUUCCAUUUGUUACUUAAUCUGCAGUCGGUUAGACCACACUGAAGCUCAGGGUCCGGGUCUCUUGGGCAGCACAUCCAGGCAUCAGCCAUGGUUCUGAACUGACACAGUAUACUUUGAAAAUUGUUUUAGCUGCAUCCACACUUCACUUAGCAAAGACAGAGACCUCAAUGCACACAAGCUAUCAAACUGAAUCUGGAUCUCCCUUAUGAUACCUUAAUAAACAACUGCUAAAAUGUAUUUUAAAAAAUCUACCAAGAAACUUAAAGCAAAGGGCCAGUCCCACACGAAUGAAUCUCAGAUGCACAGGCACUGAUGAACCACGUGACUCGGCCUCUUCCAUGCAUGCCUAUGUGGCAUUUGUUGACCUUUUGCUUAAAACCCAGAAUUUUGUUUAAUCCUCUGAGCUUUGGAUCAAAAGCCACGCCUUAGAUUAAGUAAUGGCUGAAUACUAUUUAAAAAUAGUCGCGGCCGAUUCCCGAAAUAGGAAUUUUCCAUCUGUCUGGAAACAAAAGGUCCCUGUAGGUUCCCUAUAUUGGCAAGGGAAAAAUGAGUGUAUCUCUGAGUUAAAAUUUCAAGUGAGCUUUCAUUCUGCCCCCAUUCUGAAUUUUUCUAGUAUGCCACUGAAGUAGAAAUUUCAAAAGCUCACACAACAAUUUAUUUGUGGAGUAAGAGGGGAAAAAAAAAUCUUCAUUUGAAACAAGGAUUAGAAUGCAAUCAGUGGGUUGUCAUUUAAUAUAUCUUAAGUUCUAUUAACAAGUCACAACCUAGGCUAAGGAUCUCAAAACUGAACUAUAAGCUACAGACUCACAUUUUUCCUACCCAGUUAUGUAAGCUUGCACAUGCACAUCUAUAACAUUCAACUUGGACAGACAGCUAAUGUUGCAAAAUCAUCAACGCCCUGACAUAUCUCAAGGAUACAGAGUAAUUAAAUUAAAAAGACAAGAAAGUACGGGAAACGAUUUACUACCUUCGUAUCAUCAAUUAUGAAUGUCACUUUCUCAAGCUAAUUUUCAUCAAAGCCUCGUUUGAACCAAAUGGCUAGUCCUGCCUAACACACUCUUUUUUUUUUUUUUUUUCUUCCCUUUAACAGAAACUUUUAACAUAGUCUUUGCUAAUCAUUAUUUUCUUCCCUGGUGCUUUGCUGAAUUUUUAAGCUAAAGCUUUUUCUUUAAUUUGUCUCUUGUUGGUCUUCAUUAAAGGCAAUAUUUGGCUUCUUAUGAACAAUGCUAAUUGCCUCAAUUCUCCCUUUGUCCUCAUCCAACUAGGAGUAGAUGUUUUCCGGCUGCGACUUUCCUCACCCUUGCAUCUCUCUCCCGUCUUAAUAACACUGUCCUUCCCAGGAUUUCAUGCCAAUCUUUCCAAGUGCAGUUUCAAGACAGGUCAUGUAAAAGCUUAAACUCAACAGAAAGCUCAUACUUCAGAACCUAAAGGAACUCGUGAUCUAAAGACUAAACGGAGAACCAGAAUCCACUCUAGUGGACAGUCUAUGAAAUCAUCAAAACACAAAGCAAAAAGCACCCACCACACAAUGUCCUACCUGGAAUGCAGACGGAGCAUCCGUUUCAAAAACUCCUUGGGGAGCUCCAGGUUGUAUGUCAGUGGUGAUGAACACUAGAAGAGGUUCCGGCCCUUUCACCCUCGCCUGCACGUUUAAUGUAGACAUAGCCUUGAAGACUUUGCUUUUUCUUCCUCGUGUUAACUUUUCAAAAAAAGAAAAAAAAAUGGACUC